rnacentral:rRNA from 1 species
GGGGAAUUUUCCGCAAUGGGCGAAAGCCUGACGGAGCAACGCCGCGUGGAUGAUGACGGCUUUCGGGUUGUAAAGUCCUUUCAGCAGGGACGAAGCGAGUGACGGUACCUGCAGAAGAAGCAUCGGCUAACUACGUGCCAGCAGCCGCGGUAAUACGUAGGAUGCGAGCGUUGUCCGGAAUUAUUGGGCGUAAAGAGAACGUAGGUGGCCAAUUAAGUUUGAUCUUAAAGACCGGGGCUCAACCCCGGGAAUGGAUUGAAAACUGGUUGGCUAGAGGAUGUUAGAGGACGGUGGAAUUCCCAGUGUAGCGGUGAAAUGCGUAGAUAUUGGGAGGAACACCAGUGGCGAAAGCGGCCGUCUGGAACAUUCCUGACACUGAGGUUCGAAAGCUCGGGGAGCAAAC